ACUCAGGUGUCUCUAUUGCUCCAUAAAUAAAACGUGUCCCUGCCUUCUGCGAGCUCUAUAAAGGCAGCGGAACGGCCGUGCCCGGGGCAUUCCGGGCAGGGCACGAGCAGAGCCGCAACAGGUCAUGGAAGCGCCCGGCCGCAGGUCGGAGCCGCUCCCCGAGUACAGCGGCAGCUACGUGGUGUCGAGGCCGGUGUACAGCGAGCUCGCCUUCCAGCGGCGGUACGAGCGGCGCCUGCAGGAGCGCAGGACGCUGCGGGAGCGCCUGGCCCGGAGCUGCAGCUGUUCAAGAAAAAGAGCCGUUGGUGUGCUGAAGACUCUCUUGCCCAUCUUGGACUGGCUCCCCAAAUACCGAGUCAAGGAAUGGCUGCUCAGUGACAUCAUCUCGGGAGUUAGCACUGGGCUAGUGGGUACCCUGCAAGGCAUGGCGUACGCUUUACUAGCUGCAGUUCCUGUUGGAUAUGGUCUCUACUCUGCUUUUUUCCCUAUCCUGACAUACUUUAUCUUCGGAACAUCAAGACACAUCUCAGUUGGACCUUUCCCAGUGGUCAGUUUGAUGGUGGGAUCUGUUGUUCUGAGCCUGGCCCCAGACGAAAAAUUUCUCAUACCCAGCAGUAAUGGAACUAUAUCAAAUGCUACCAUGAUAGACAAUGUGGCUAGAGAUGCAGCAAGAAUAUUGAUUGCAAGCACCCUUACUCUUUUGGUUGGAAUCAUACAGUUGGUGUUUGGGGGUUUGCAGAUUGGAUUCAUAGUGAGGUACUUGGCUGAUCCUUUGAUUGGCGGAUUCACAACAGCUGCUGCCUUCCAAGUGUUGGUCUCGCAGCUAAAGAUCAUUCUCAACGUUUCAACCAAGAACUAUAAUGGAGUUCUCUCCAUUAUCUAUACUCUGGUUGACACUUUUCAAAAUAUUGGUAGCACCAAUCUUGCUGAUUUCAUUGCUGGAUUACUCACCAUUAUCAUCUGUAUGGCAGUUAAGGAAUUAAAUGAUCGAUUUAGACACAAAAUCCCAAUCCCUAUUCCUAUUGAAGUAAUUGUGACAAUAAUUGCUACUGCCAUUUCAUAUGGAGCCAACCUGGAAAAAAAUUACAAUGCUGGCAUUGUUAAAUCCAUCCCAAGGGGGUUCUUGCCUCCUGCACUGCCACCUGUGAACUUGUUUUCUGAGAUGCUGGCUGCAUCGUUUUCCAUCGCUGUGGUGGCUUACGCUAUUGCAGUGUCUGUAGGAAAAGUGUACGCCAUCAAGUAUGAUUACGCCAUCGAUGGGAACCAGGAAUUCAUUGCCUUUGGGAUUAGCAACAUCUUCUCCGGGUUCUUCUCGUGUUUCGUGGCUACCACCGCCCUGUCCCGCACAGCUGUCCAGGAGAGCACGGGAGGAAAGACACAGAUUGCUGGCAUCAUCUCGGCUGGGGUUGUGAUGAUCGCCAUCCUUGCCUUGGGGAAGCUGCUGGAACCCUUGCAGAAGUCGGUCUUGGCAGCUGUUGUAAUUGCCAACCUGAAAGGGAUGUUUAUGCAAGUGUGUGAUGUUCCUCGUCUAUGGAGGCAGAACAAGAUUGAUGCUGUUAUCUGGGUGUUUACAUGCAUAGUGUCCAUCAUUCUGGGGCUGGACCUCGGUUUACUAGCUGGCCUUAUAUUUGGAUUACUGACGGUGGUCCUGAGAAUUCAGUUUCCCUCCUGGAACGGUCUUGGAAGCAUCCCUAACACAGACAUCUACAAGAGUACCAAGGACUACAAAAACGUUGAAGAACCAGAAGGAAUGAAGAUUCUUAGGUUUUCUAGUCCUAUUUUUUAUGGCAAUGUCGAUGGUUUUAAAAAAUGUAUCAAGUCUACAGUUGGAUUUGAUGCCAUGAGAGUGUAUAACAAGAGGCUGAAAGCACUGAGGAAAAUACAGAAACUCAUCAAAAAAGGGCAAUUAAGAGCAACUAAGAAUGGCAUUAUAAGUGGUGCUGGUGCAUCAAAUAAUGCUUUUGAGCCUGAUGAAGAUAUUGAAGACCCAGAAGAACUUGAUAUCCCAACCAAGGAAAUAGAGAUUCAAGUGGAUUGGAAUUCUGAGAUUCCAGUGAAAGUGAAUGUUCCCAAGGUGCCAAUCCACAGCCUCGUGCUUGAUUGUGGAGCUGUAUCUUUCUUGGAUGUCGUUGGAGUGAGGUCAUUGCGAGUGGUUGUCAAGGAAUUCCAAAGAAUUGAUGUAAAUGUGUACUUUGCAUCGCUUCAAGAUCACGUAAUAGAAAAGCUGGAGAAAUGUGGUUUCUUUAAUGAUAACAGAAAGGAUAUAUUCUUUUUGACUGUCCAUGACGCUGUUCUCCACGUACAGAACCGGGUUAAAUCUCAAGAAAUUCAAGAUUCCAUUUUAGAAACGGCAUAUUGUGGAUGCAGUGAUAUGACCCUCUCCCUCUCCCUUCAUAUGACAAACACAAGGACUAUCCAAAGAGAGUCCCAGCUUGUAGUUACACCUAUCCAUUAUGUCCGACCAUCUGCACAGGGACUGAAGUCUCUAAUUCAUCUCCACACUAGCAGAGAGAUUGGAUUAUUGAUUUAUCUCCCUCAUCCAGGACCAUAAAGAUCCUCUUGAAUUAAUGGAAGCAGAGCUGAUUGAAGAAGAACUUAACGUCGAGGAUGAGGCUAUGCGUAGCCUUGCUUCCUGAAAGCGGGCUCAGGGGCCAGAUAAGCAAGGACUGCAAGGCAGAGUUCAACCACCAAUGUCAUUCUAUGCAAGCGUUUUCUGCAUCGACUACUUCUUUGGACUUGAAACACUCAUUCAUUUUCCAUUCGAUUUUUAAAAUAUACAUAUUUUUAUUGAUUUCAGAGAAGAAAAGAGAGAGGGAGAGAGAGCUAGAAACACCAAUGAUGAGAGAGAACCAUCGAUUAGCUGCCCCACACUGGGGAUCGAGCCCGAAA